UACAGAGACUGCAAGCGUUAUUCGGAUUCACUGGGCGUAAAGGGUGCGCAGGCGGUCGGGUGUGUCAGAUGUGAAAUCCCGAGGCUCAACCUCGGAACUGCGUCUGAAACUACUCGACUAGAGUACUGGAGAGGGUAACGGAAUUCACGGUGUAGCAGUGAAAUGCAUAGAUAUCGUGAGGAACACCAGAGGCGAAGGCGGUUACCUGGACAGUUACUGACGCUCAGGCACGAAAGCAUGGGGGAGCAAAAGGG
rnacentral:rRNA from 1 species